rnacentral:lncRNA from 1 species
UCUUCCUGCACCCCUAAAUUUUUCUUCCUACACCCACACAAUGUUGUGCAAAGACAAAACUGUUCCUAUACAAAACUGUACAUUUAAUUUUUUGCAUUCCAGAUUAUGAAAUCCGGUAAAUUUUUAAAUUUGCGUGUUCGGUAACUUCCUUGAUUGGAUUGGUGCUUCCUGUAAUAAUGAAUGGUAAUGUUAAUCCAAAAUAAAAAAUACAAAACAUCCAUAAUUAAAAAAAUCAUUCUGGAUUCGCCAAUUCAUAAUUUAAUUCAAAAUAGGCAUUCUAGAUUCAGAAAUCCAUAAUAAAAAAAUCAUUUUGAAUCCAUCAAUCAGUAAUAGAAAUUAGGCCUCUAGAUUUAACAAUUUAUGCAAACUUUGCUUCCAGAAUACCUUCUCAUCCGGAAAGUAACAUUAUUCACUUCUUCAUUGAUGAAUCUCUAACACACUCCCAUAUCUUGAUUUCAAGUAAAAGGUGAA